UACGUAGGGGGCAAGCGUUGUCCGGAUUCAUUGGGCGUAAAGAGCGUGUAGGCGGCCAGGUAGGUCGGUUGUGAAAACUGGAGGCUCAACCUUCAGACGUCGACCGAAACCAUCUGGCUAGAGUCCGGGAGAGGAGAGUGGAAUUCCUGGUGUAGCGGUGAAAUGCGCAGAUAUCAGGAAGAACACCCGUGGCGAAAGCGGCUCACUGGACCAUUACUGACGCUGAGGCACGAAAGCUAGGGGAGCAAACAGG
rnacentral:rRNA from 1 species